GACAGAGGGUGCAAACGUUGUUCGGAAUUACUGGGCGUAAAGCGUGUGUAGGCGGUCCUCUAAGUCGGAUGUGAAAUCCCUGGGCUCAACCCAGGAAGUGCACUCGAAACUGGAGGGCUAGAGUAUCGGAGAGGUUGGUGGAAUUCUCGGUGUAGAGGUGAAAUUCGUAGAUAUUCGGAAGAACACCAGUGGCGAAGGCGACUUACUGGACACAUAUUGACGCUGAGGUGCGAAAGCGUGGGGAGCAAACAGG
rnacentral:rRNA from 1 species